rnacentral:rRNA from 1 species
ACCGAAAGGAGCCAGCGGCCUAAGGUAGGGUCAGCGAUUGGGGUGAAGUCGUAACAAGGUAGCCGUAGGAGAACCUGCGGCUGGAUCACCUCCUUUCUAAGGA